AGUGAACGCUGGCGGUAGGCCUAACACAUGCAAGUCGAACGGCAGCACAGUAAGAGCUUGCUCUUACGGGUGGCGAGUGGCGGACGGGUGAGGAAUACAUCGGAAUCUACUUUUUCUUGGGGGAUAACGUAGGGACACUUACGCUAAUACCGCAUACGACCUACGGGUGAAAGCAGGGGAUCUUCGGACCUUGCGCGAUUGAAUGAGCCGAUGUCGGAUUAGCUAGUUGGCGGGGUAAAGGCCCACCAAGGCGACGAUCCGUAGCUGGUCUGAGAGGAUGAUCAGCCACACUGGAACUGAGACACGGUCCAGACUCCUACGGGAGGCAGCAGUGGGGAAUAUUGGACAAUGGGCGAAAGCCUGAUCCAGCCAUGCCGCGUGAGUGAAGAAGGCCUUCGGAUUGUAAAGCCCUUUUAUUGGGGAAGAAAAGCAGCAGGUUAAUACCCCGCUGUUCUGACGGUACCCAAAGAAUAAGCACCGGCUAACUUCGUG
rnacentral:rRNA from 1 species